GUGUGUGUGGAGUGAUCAGAGGUGCAGUGUGUGUGUGUGUGUGUGUGUGUGUGUGUGUGUGUGUGGAGUGAUCAGAGGUGCAGUGUCAGCAGAAAAAGCGAAGCUCACCUGCAGGUGGAUGAUGAUGCUCCUGUUCCCGAUCCGAUCUGUGUCUGUGAGCGAGGAGAGGAAGCACGGAGCUGAUCUCCUCCACCGCUAGCUCGUCCCGUUUCUCGUUCAUAUAUUUUGUGGAACGGUUCCUUUAAUGUUUGCUGAGACGCUGAUGGACAGACAGAGCUGAUGGUCUCAGUGGAGACACCUGUCUCUGAAACACUGACCAUUGAUCAGUUAUUGAUCUCUUGCAGACUCUGUCCUCUCGUGAUGUCACGUGUUGUCAUCUAUUUUUAAAGGUGUGAAGAAGAACCUCGGCAGCUUCGUUUCUAUAGCGAUGGAGGAUAAAAAUACAUCGAUCCGUCCCUAAGCAACAGCAGCUCCACCAAUCAGAUCCCCAACAGGGAGCGCCGUCUGUUGUUCGUGUGGAUACUCAGUUUCCCAGCAUUCCUCUGGCCCCCUCUCUGCUCAGCUCUCUGCUGACACCUGCAGGCCAGGACCUGUUACUGCAGCUGGACGGAGGAUUCCCAGCGCUCAGAUCUCUGAGUGAAACACAAAGAAGACAAAGUCACGACCGAACAAUCAUACAUUCACCAAUCAAUAAUCAAUAACAUCUCAGCUGUGAAAUCAUUAGCAAUGUGAUGACAGGAAGUAACAGCAGAGAAGCUGAGCUUCAGU